CGGAGGAUCCAAGCGUUAUCCGGAAUUACUGGGCGUAAAGAGUUGCGUAGGUGGCGAAGUAAGUUGGUAGUGAAAGCGUUCGGCUCAACCGGAUAAACAUUAUCAAAACUGCUUUAGCUAGAGGAUGAGAGAGGUUAUUGGAAUUCCCAGUGUAGGAGUGAAAUCCGUAGAUAUUGGGAGGAACACCGAUGGCGUAGGCAGAUAACUGGCUCAUUCCUGACACUAAGGCACGAAAGCGUGGGGAGCAAACGGGAUUAGAUACCCCGGUAGUCCACGCCGUAAACGAUGGAUGCUAGCUGUUAUAGGUAUCGACCCCUGUAGUAGCGAAGCUAACGCGUUAAGCAUCCCGCCUGUGGAGUACGGUCGCAAGACUA
rnacentral:rRNA from 1 species